rnacentral:tRNA from 1 species
GGAUUGUGGCUCAGCGGUAGAGCACUCGCCUAGCAGGGGUGAGACCUGGGUUCAAUCCUCAGCACCA